rnacentral:lncRNA from 1 species
AUGAUCUGAGUUGCUUCGAUUUGACCUCAAAGAAACUUAAUCUUCUUGCCUACAUUGAUAGGACUUCAGACAACCAAGGAUCCAAGAGAAUUGAUGAGAAAUGAGAGAGAUUUGAAGAGAUUUUUUUUUUUGGAAAAUACCUUCAAUAUUGUGCAGAAUCGAUUGCUCUUGCUUUGAUUCUUGCUUGACCUUGCUCAAGAAGCUUGCAGAAGUAGAUUAGAAUGGAACAAA